rnacentral:snRNA from 1 species
AGGCUUUGUGUUUCCUUCCUCAAUACUAAAAUUAGAAUGAUACAGAGAAAAUUAGCAUGCCCACUGCGAAAGGAUGACACACAAAUUCGUGAACCUUUCAGUAAUUUU